rnacentral:rRNA from 1 species
GAUGAACGCUGGCGGCGUGCCUAAUACAUGCAAGUCGAGCGAACGGGCGAGAAGCUUGCUUUUCUGAUGUUAGCGGCGGACGGGUGAGUAACACGUGGAUAACCUACCUAUAAGACUGGGAUAACUUCGGGAAACCGGAGCUAAUACCGGAUAAUAUUUUGAACCGCAUGGUUCAAAAGUGAAAGACGGUCUUGCUGUCACUUAUAGAUGGAUCCGCGCUGCAUUAGCUAGUUGGUAAGGUAACGGCUUACCAAGGCAACGAUGCAUAGCCGACCUGAGAGGGUGAUCGGCCACACUGGAACGGAGACACGGUCCAGACUCCUACGGGAGGCAGCAGUAGGGAAUCUUCCGCAAUGGGCGAAAGCCUGACGGAGCAACGCCGCGUGAGUGAUGAAGGUCUUCGGAUCGUAAAACUCUGUUAUUAGGGAAGAACAUAUGUGUAAGUAACUGUGCACAUCUUGACGGUACCUAAUCAGAAAGCCACGGCUAACUACGUG